rnacentral:misc_RNA from 1 species
GAUGAAGAACGUAGCGAAAUGCGAUAAGUAAUGUGAAUUGCAGAAUUCAGUGAAUCAUCGAAUCUUUGAACGCGCAUUGCGCCCGCCAGUAUUCUGGCGGGCAUGCCUGUUCGAGCGUCAUUUCAACCCUCAGGCCCCCAGUGCCUGGCGUUGGGGAUCGGCGUGGGCGGCGAACGGCUCUCCGGAGCCCGAGCCAAUGCCUGCCGGCCCCGAAAUUCAGUGGCGGUCUCGCUGUAGUCCCCCUCUGCGUAGUAGCACAACUCGCAUUGGAGCUCGGCGGUGGCCAUGCCGUAAAACACCCCACUUCUGAAAGUUGACCUCGGAUCAGGUAGGAAUACCCGCUGAACUUAAGCAUAUCAAUAAGCGGAGGA